AACUCUGGACCCGCUCUCAUACAAUGUGCUUUUUAACUGUGUGAAAGUGAGGCCAGUGUGGU
rnacentral:pre_miRNA from 1 species